rnacentral:tRNA from 1 species
GGAGGUAACUAUUUGGUGGAAAGAAUACCGGACUGAGAGUCAGAAAACCUGGGUUCUAAUCCCAGCUCCUCCA